rnacentral:rRNA from 1 species
UACCAGCACCCCGAGUGGUCGGGACGAUUAUUGGGCCUAAAGCAUCCGUAGCCGGUCCUACAAGUCUUCCGUUAAAUCCACCUGCUUAACAGAUGGGCUGCGGAAGAUACUAUAGGGCUAGGAGGCGGGAGAGGCGAAGCGAAGUACUCAGUGGGUAGGGGUAAAAGUCCUCUGAUCCAUUGAAGACCACCAGUGGCGAAGGCGGCUUACUGGACAGGUCCGUGACACUGAGACGCGAAAGCGUGGGUAGCAAACAGG